GAGCCCUACGGGGGGCAGCAGUGAGGAAUAUUGGUCAAUGGGCGGGAGCCUGAACCAGCCAAGCCGCGUGAGGGAAGAAGGUACAGCGUAUCGUAAACCUCUUUUGUCAGGGAACAAAGGCGGGGACUAGUCCCCGGAUGAGGGUACCUGAAGAAAAAGCAUCGGCUAACUCCGUGCCAGCAGCCGCGGUAAUACGGAGGAUGCGAGCGUUAUCCGGAUUUAUUGGGUUUAAAGGGUGCGCAGGCGGUCUGUUAAGUCAGCGGUCAAAGCCCGGGGCUCA
rnacentral:rRNA from 1 species